rnacentral:rRNA from 1 species
CACCAGCUAAUGUCCAUAAAUGAUUGCUCAAUGAUAAAGGAGGUAGGGAUGCAAAAACAAUCAGGAGGUUUGUCUAAAAGUCACCCUUUAAAAGAGUGCGUAAUAAUUCACUAAUCGAACGCUCUUGUGGCAAAAUGAACGGGGCUAAACGAUCUAUUGAAACCAUG